UGCCUUGGUGCUUCAGUUGGGUAGGAGGCGGUGUUGUGCUGAUCACUUAAAUUCUUCCCUAACUUGCUCUGUGACUUGCAGUAGCUGCUGCUGUUCUCUAUUUGCUUUGGAGCAGAGUUAAAUUUCCUAACAUGAAACCCAACUAUUAAAAAGUUGGAAACUGCAUUACUGUAUAUUAACCCUUAGUCAUCCUUGGUGGAGACAAAGAAGGACCAAGAAGCAAAGCAUGACACAGAGGAGUACAACAUUUUGAAUGCACAUGGAUUGAAAGGGCAGCUUGGCCUUGGUAAAGAACAGAUAUGGAUGCUUAAACUGCCACUAUUACAAAAAAAGAAAUCAGGCAAGUACAUGAUGAAUUGGAUAGUAAUAUUACGACCAACUAUUCUGGUAGCAGUGUGGUUAGUAUGCUCUUCAGAUAUAUCACAAGGGACUUCCCCAAGUAGGGACAAUGGAAAUGCUGGACAGCACAGGACAUCACACAGAGGCAGCAACCCAGGUUCUUCUACAAGAAGACCAAUUAAUUCUCAAAGACGUUACCCUAUAG